GUUUUCAUGGUGUUGAAGAAGAGGGCUGGUCGAGUGUCAGAAUAAAAACCAUCUUCUUCCUCUUCCUCAUCACUCCUGCUUCACUGCAGACUCACACAGCAUCUCUGAACCUCCUGACUUGAGCAACAGAUAAAAUGGUUUUCGUUGUACCACUGAGGAUCCUCCUUCUGAUCUGCCUGAUUCAUUUUUGUACUGCAGUAGAUGACCCAAAGAGUGUGAACCCAAAAACCCUCAUGAAUAUUGUAAACAACUUUGUAACUCAGUUGGGUGGUGAUCAAUUAUCUGUUGUCACGGGAAGAAUGACAAAGCCUGUAGCUUUAGAAAACAAAAGGUUUUAAUUCCACAAGCAGGCAGAUAUGCAACAGAGUGCUAAGGCACAAACAAUAACCAACCAAGAACACAGAACAGGCAGGAACUUAAAUACACAGAUAAUGACUACUAAACAGGAACAGCUGACAAGACUUAACUAAUUAGAAACCAUAGUGACUAACGAGGACUAAUGCAGACAAGACAGAACUGAACUAAACUGAACAUACAUGUGACAGCUGUAGCCUUCAGAGUUAAUAAGGAGAAUUGUCUUGAUCCUACAUUUCAAGGUGUAACCUUAACUAAUGAAGCGAUAAAUAAAAUUAACAACGACCAGGUUUAUGAGAGCAAUAACCUCAUUGCUGCAAAGCCUAUACAAGAGCCUCAUCCAGAACAUUCAGAGUUUCG